rnacentral:rRNA from 1 species
UCAACCUACCCUAUGGACGAGAAUAAUCUCGGGAAACUGAGGAUAAUACUCGAUAGAUCAUAAUGCCUGGAAUGGUUUAUGGUUAAAAUGAUUCGUCGCCAUAGGAUGGGACUGCGGCCUAUCAGCUUGUUGGUGAGGUAAUGGCCCACCAAGGCGAUUACAGGUACGGGCUCUGAGAGGAGAAGCCCGGAGAUGGGUACUGAGACAAGGACCCAGGCCCUAUGGGGCGCAGCAGGCGAGAAAACUUUGCAAUGUGCGAAAGCACGACAAGGUUAAUCCGAGUGAUUUCUGCUAAAGAAAUCUUUUGCCAGUCAUAAAACCACUAGUGAAUAAGGGGUGGGCAAGUUCUGAUGUCAGCCGCCGCGGUAAAACCAGCACCUCAAGUGGUCAGGAGGAUUAUUGGGCCUAAAGCAUCCGUAGCCGGCUCUGUUAGUUUUCGGUUAAAUCCAUGUGUUCAACACAUGGGCUGCCGAAAAUACUGCAGAGCUAGGGAGUGGGAGAGGUAGACGG